rnacentral:tRNA from 1 species
GGGCCCAUAGCUCAAUUGGUUAGAGCGCCGGACUCAUAAUCCGUCGGUUCGGGGUUCAAGUCCCUGUGGGCCCACCA